UACGGAGGAUCCGAGCGUUAUCCGGAUUUAUUGGGCUUAAAGGGUGCGUAGGCGGCCUAUUAAGUCAGGGGUGAAAUACGGUGGCUCAACCAUCGCAGUGCCUUUGAUACUGAUGGGCUUGAAUCCAUUUGAAGUGGGCGGAAUAAGACAUGUAGCGGUGAAAUGCAUAGAUAUGUCUUAGAACUCCGAUUGCGAAGGCAGCUCACUAAGCUGGUAUUGACGCUGAUGCACGAAAGCGUGGGGAUCGAACAGG
rnacentral:rRNA from 1 species